AACGCGAAGAACCUUACCUACCCUUGACAUCCUCGGAAUUUAGCAGAGAUGCUGGAGUGCCUUCGGGAGCCGAGAGACAGGUGCUGCAUGGCUGUCGUCAGCUCGUGUCGUGAGAUGUUGGGUUAAGUCCCGUAACGAGCGCAACCCUUAUCCUUAGUUGCCAGCGGGUUAAGCCGGGAACUCUAGGGAGACUGCCGGUGAUAAACCGGAGGAAGGCGGGGACGACGUCAAGUCAUCAUGGCCCUUACGGGUAGGGCUACACACGUGCUACAAUGGGCAGUACAAAGGGAAGCGAAGCCGCGAGGUGGAGCGAAUCUCACUAAAGCUGCUCGUAGUCCGGAUUGGAGUCUGCAACUCGACUCCAUGAAGUUGGAAUCGCUAGUAAUCGCGGAUCAGAAUGCCGCGGUGAAUACGUUCCCGGGCCUUGUACACACCGACAUA
rnacentral:rRNA from 1 species